GAAAGCCUGGUUACUAGUGACAUCCUAAGACUAAUGGAAGCUGGGAUAGGAGCUGUAAAUCUAUAGAAGAUGGAAGCUAGAAAGGAAGGGAAUCUAGUAAUACGUAGCUAGACUACAUGAGGGAUAAAGAUAAAAGAAAGAAGGAUAACUACUAGCUACAGAACAUUUUCCCAGCCUUGUGUAUUUUUCCCCUCCUUUUCUUUGUAAAUCUGUGCAUCUAAACAUUGAAUACCAGUGGUUGUUUGGUUCUAAGCUUUUAAAUGGUUGUUACCUGCUAUUUGUUACAGAAAUGGUUCUAAAUGGAGCUGCUCCCCCAAGAGAAGUGCAGCUGCUGCUGCUAGCCUGCGUAGGAGGAGGACAACUAGUGUUGGGGCUGCAGGAGGAGCAAGUGGGAAUAUGCUGCAGUUUUACACUGAUGAUGUCCCGGGACUCAAGAUUUCCCCCAAUGUCGUUCUUGUCAUGAGUAUUGGUUUCAUAGCCUUUGUUGCUACUCUCCAUGUCAUGGGUAAGCUGUACUUUGUGCGAAGAGAGGCUUAAAAAGGUGCAGCAAUGGAAGUCUCAGUUCAGAGUCAAUUUUGAAUGAAUUAUUACUUAAUAGGUAAUGAAAUAUGAAUUUUGGCUUUAGUUCUCUUCUUCUACCUUACAUGUGUGUGAAUGUCUCUUAACAAAAGCAGAAAUUUUUUUAUCCUAGUUAAUGAAAGGUAGUGGCAAGUUGCAACUGUAUGAAAUGAUUCUUGCUCCAACUCCUAAAAGCUAAAACCAAUAAGAUUUGAGAUUGCUAUUGUUUUGAUCAUAAAUAUCAUCAAGGAGUUUGGUAUGAGUGAUGUGCCGUUAUUGGUGUGGAGAUGAUGACCAGCCACCUUCCAUGACUUUAAAAGUCAUGUACACAUUAAGAGGCCCCAAUCAUACCAUGUAGAUAUUAACCAUGACUAUUAGGGCCUCUAUCUUGGAUUUGAGAAGAGCCCACUCCUACCCUGUAGAUAUGAACUGUGACCGUUAGAGCCUCUGUCACAUGGGGUUGUCGGGGCCGGUAUUCAUGUGGAACUUAACUGGCCCCAUAAUGAAUUAAUCAAUCCUCGACUCAGUUGAUGUUUGAAUAUAAAUAAAAAAAAGAAAGUGUUUUUCAUAGUCUCUUUUAAUAUAUUACGUAAAAUAAUUUAAUGAAUUAAGAGCACAAUUAAAGAAGGGAAACUUGUGUUUUGGGUCGGCCAUUUGGGAAUAAUUUGGUUUUCAAACUCAAGAAUUGGAAAUCUGAGAUACAACCGUUAAUGUGGAAAAUAAUUUGGUUUUUGUGCACUUUGUGUUGACUCCUUUUUUUGUGCCCAAAUUGCUCUCACCCAAUCUCCAUGUUAGCAUUCAUGGCCCAAAACAUAAGUUUCCCAAAACACAAGUCUGUCUUCAACUUUCCUCCCCUGUUUUUCUUCACCGUCUUCCACUGAAAUUUAGUUGUUGCUCGCCAUCAUAACUUGUCCACCGUCACACCUUUGUGAUUGUCUGCAGCCACGAAACACAUCAAAGUCGGCAAGGCUUCGUUGCCGUUUACCUUGUUCGCCACAACUCUCUUGGAAUCACAUCCUUCCAACAUGUGAGUCUGUGACUUCCCAUUUUCUAUUUGCUAAAAUUAUUUACUUUUCUUCUUAUUGAUUUUGUUCCUAUUUGGAUUGUCUUAGUUUGUUCUUGAUUAAACCUUAAAUUUUUUUUGAUAUGGAAAAUUGAAAGUCCUUUGUGAAAUUUGCAAUUCAGAAACGAAAUCCCUAAAAUCCCAAUUGGUACCUGAAAUUUGCACCAUGAACCUCUGAUUGCAAAACACAAAAUGGAAGGUAUAUUGGUGCUUAUUAAUUGUAUACACGUCUUUCUUUCGUUCUUUUUUUCUUUUGAAAUAAUUGUUAUCAGAAUACUUGUUCUUUCUUGUAAUUUUUUUUUAUUCCAUGUGGUGUAUAUUUGAUAUGGUUUUAUGGAGGUCAUGAGUUUGCAAUUUUCUUGUCUUUUCAAUUUGAUCUCUUUAAUGCACAUUAUUUCAUUAAUUAAUGAAUUAUUUUGUCAUCUUAAAGUUCAACUAAAAUCUGUUUUGGGAUUCCUUUGUUUGGUUUCUAAGAAAAGAAACACUUGUUGAAUUUUGAAUCUUAAGUUUUAAGUUGUUUUUGGUUUCCAAAAAUUUUAGAAACUUGUCUUAACCAAGCCAAAUAGUUGUGGCAUAGUUGAGUGGAAAUUUCCUUUUUCCUAGUCCAGAACUAGUCAAAAUUUUAAAAUGUAAUUUUAAGGAAAAUUUGUUUGAAUUGAAAAACCAAUAGCAGCUAAGAAAGGAACCUUUUCUGGUUAAAUUAUUGCUUGUUAUAUUUGAGUUAUACCGAGUUUUUGACAUUAUCUGGGAAAAUAAUCAUAGGUUCCCUUCCCAUCCAUCCCCUCUUUUUCUAUUUUUAUCAAUUUAUAUGUGCUUGUUUAUAUUGAAAUAUUGAAAUUUAAUGGGUUCUUUGUGACAAUUUAUUCAAGGUUGCCCAUCUCAGUUAGCCACUAUGAUUUACAUAGCAAUUGGAGCAUUCUACCUAACCACUGAGCAGCUAAAGAACUCACCUUCCAAGAAAGAUGAUAUAGAUGUAGGGAUGGCAGUUUUAUGGGCUAUCCGGGUAACUCGCCUCACCCCUCCCUUAUUAGGACAGGUAUGAGCAGGUGAUAAUCAGGGAUGAAACGGGUUUGGGAAAAUUUUCAAAACUUGAAUAGGCUGGGAUGGGUUUUAUACUAACCCGCCCCACCCUGCCCCGCCCCGCCCCACCAAGUUACAAAUUUAGUCUUCAAAUUUUAUAAAAUACCUAACAACUCCUUAUAAAUAGUUUCUUUUUUCAUUGCCCUAGAUCAUCCAUUGCUUUCUUCUCAUCCCUCUCCUCUCAUCUUUGCAUAUUGCCCCUUUCUACUUCAACCUUUAGAAAUCCAUCUUUAAGGAUGAAUCCAAUAAAAACAAUAAAAUUGAGAAACGUUUGUAGAGAAACCCUUUUCUCUUCUUCAAAUAGAAGUGGAAUUACAAUGAUGAUUGGCUCCAUUGCAGUAGUGACAACUUCGACAUUCAUCAAGUGCCAGAGCCUUCAGCCUCCAUUUCAAGCCCUCUCAUCUUUUAAAGGUGUUUUGAUUUGGUUUCAACCGUAGUUAUAUUUUAGGGUUUUGUCCUAUUGGAUUGUGUACAAAUAUUUGAUUUUUUUUUUGGAAAUUUUGGAUUUUUUUUCCUUUCUAAUUUGAGUUUUGGUUUGAUAAUCAACUUGCAUCCCGUAUUGCUCCAAGUGUGAAUCUAUCUAUCUCAAACCCAUUUAUUUAUUUAUUUUUCCAAUAUUUUCUUUCUGAAAGCCAUUGUGAUCUCUUGAAAUUUUUGUGGUGUUUUUUUUUUCUUUUUUUAGAAAAGUGUAUAGGCAUGAAAAUUGUGAAUUUGGUCAUUGGGGAUUUUGUUGAUUGAUGUAAUAUUGUUGGUUUUGGGAAAAUCAUCCUCCCCACCCAAACAAAAAUACAUAUCCUGGUUGAGACAUACGAGGACGGGUUUAUCAUUUUUUUUUGUAAAUGGGGAGGGGUACUCAUCAACAUGCCUCGACUCAGUUUGGGACGGGGAUGGAGAAAGAUUAUAUAAUUGGGAUGGGAAUGGGAUGGGGGUGCCCCAUCCCCAACUCACCCCACUGUCAUCCCUAUAUAGAUGAAGCAAUUGAAACAACCCUUAGAAUUUAUGGUUGUGUUCUCAUCCAAGAAAUAGGCAUUUUACUGAGAAUGUAUGUUGUUAUAUGGUUCUUGUUAUUUUUUAAUAAAAAUGUAGUUGGUACAUGCAAUUCUUAUAUCUCCUAUUUUUCAUUUGUUUGUUUACCUUAAUCUUAUCAUGUUAGACCUCAAGCAGUAAUGGCCAUUGGCCAGGUUUUGUUCCAUCGCUUCUACUGCAAUAGGUCAUUUGCCCGUUUCAAUGUGAAGGUUUAUCCCUCCUAACUAUCUUUCAUUUUCUAGUUUGCUAAAAAUAAAUUUUGAAUCCUUUAUUUUAUGCUGUUAUGGUUUCCUAAAAAAUUGGGAAACUCACCUCCACUAGACUUGACAUUUGGAUUUUUAAGAGGUCUUUCCUCUCUUAGAUAUCAAGUGAUGGAAUUUCUAAAAUUUGAAAGUUUAAGUUACAUUUUUUAGGGUGUAGCUCAACUGAGAACAAUGCUAUAUCUCUAUGUUUUCUCCUCUAUUUUAUUAGAAGUCCUGAUGUGUCUUCUUCCUACAGCGACACGGACAGCUGAACAUCUUGUUUUCUUCCUCCAUCUUGUUUUUUUGUUAUCAAAUGUGAACAUCUUGUUUUCUUGUUGUUAAAGGUGUUUUUUAAUUUUUUUUUAUUUAAAAAAAAAAAAGAAAUUAUUUUUGAAAACAAUGGUCAAAUACAUCAUAAAUAUCUUGGAGAUCAGUGUCAUAAAAUAAACAAGGCAUGUAUGUUCUAGAAUAAGACAAGUGUACUAGGAUUUGAUUGGAGUGAAGUAGUUCACGAAUUUCAAACACAAGUGUUUCAGUAGUUGGACCCAAAAGUACCAUCAGCGAAUUUCUUGAUAACAACUUUUGGUUCCAGCUGCCUAAAAAGUAAUUAAUAACCAUAAAGAUUGAAACAACAUAAUUGGGAAAAGCUAACCCCAGAACUAGCAAGUGAGAUUAUCUCCCGGCAAAACACCAAGUUCAUUGCAGUAUUCUGUAAAAUACUCGACACGGGCAUGGACAGCAGCAGUGUUUCCCCCAUCGCAUUCGUUACUGUUAAUAACCCGAAUGGUCGCACCGAACCCUUGGCCUAUGACAGAGUGCACAUUGCUCAUCCAAAACCACAAGGCAGUCUUAAAUGAUAUGCUAGCAUCGGUUGCUACUAUUUCAGGAUUGUUCAAGCCAUCAAACCCAAUGCUAGCGCCAGCUGCACCAUAGUUGUAGUUCCAUGAUAGUUGAAUGGGUCCACGCCCAUAGUAAUCCUUCCCGGACACACAUGGAAACUGUGUGUCGGUCUCAUCACAAUAGUCCUUCGAGGCACCGUUAUCCUCCUCUGUAUAACAAAAGUCUGCACAUAUACGCACACAAACAAAAUUUAAAUUUAAUAAAACAUUCUUUUUCCUAUGCAAAGAUUAAAAAAUUUAAAAAUAUAUAAUUUUUUACUAUUUUUAAUGAUCAUUGAUUUUCUCUCACUAAUUUCUUUAGUGAAAUCAAAUAUUUUUCUUAAUAUUUUUUCCUUUUUUAAUACAUAACCAAACAAAGCCUAAAAUUCAAUAUGAUAUAUUUUUUAAAUAAUUGAAAUAUAAGACUUUUAUAACGUAAAAAAAAAAAAAAAAAAAAUGAUAAAAUCUUACUUCCAGUCUCAUGUGUAACAUGUGCAAAGAAGGCCGCUAUCUCAUAGAGAGAAUCAUCCACAUAAACUUCCCUGCCAAACCGAGGAUACGACUUCAAAGCAUCCAGAAACGCCGCCCGGGUGUAGAAGUUCUUUCCGGCACAGCUUGCAUCGGCUUGAUCAAUAAUCCUAUCAAAGAAUCCCUCUGUCACAACAGCGGGCACCGGGAUAUUACUACUAGGUCUAGGCGUCGUAUAACACGAACCGGACUUGCAGCCGGUGCCGCAGUAGUCAUCGCCGGUGCCACAGUAGCCCCAUCGGCUGCAGCACAGGCCAGCGUCACAGCCGCAGUUCUGAGCCAGCACGGGCCCCGGAAGGGCUCCGGCGAGGAAUCCGACGAUAAGGAUUGCUAACAGCUUUGCAACCAUGCCUGGAGGAGUAAAAGAAUGAAGAGAAGGAUGUGAGAAAUGGGAUGAUAAGAUUGAAACCUUGGUGGGAUUUUUAUAGGGUUAUAUGACUCAUGAGUACGUCACGACAAAAUUUAAGGAAACUGACGACUUUUGAAUAUGUGAUAGGGUGAGGAAAUUAAUUAAACUCAAUCCAUACUAUGCCCUGUUUGGAAAUGGUGAUUGUAAAAUAUGAUUUAUAGACUGUUUUAAGAGGGUUAGAAGUGUUUGAAAGUAUUUUUAUUGGAAAAUUUUGCGUCUAACAAAGUGAAAAAAAAAAAAAAAUUCAUUAGAAGUGAUUUUUUUUCUUUUUUUUUUCCUUGGAAAAUUCGAGUUCAAAAAAUGGAAAAAGAAAAACAUUGAUAGGGUGCUUUCAAAAACCUUUUAAAAUGAGAUGAAAAUGGUUUUUGAAAACAAAGAAAUUUUAGUUAUAUUUUUUGAAAACAAUGAAAAUGGGCGGCACCAGUCGCCACCGGUGAGAGGCGGCAGCAGCCGUGGGUCGCUGGCAGUGGAGGCGGUGGUGAUGUGGAAAAGGAAGGAAAGAGAAAGAAAGAGGGAAGGGAAAGGGAGAGAGGGGGAGGUUGCCGGCCGGUGAUGACGAUGUCAGAAGCAGAGGAAUCCAAACGGAGUGAAAUAAAAAACAGAGCAAGAACAAACAAAGCAAAAUACCCAUUAAGUAAUAGCUCUAUUCCAUGGGUUGUCAAUGAGCUUUAAAAACUGGUGGGAAUGUUUGAGUGAUCUUAAAACAUGAACAAUGGUAUAACUAUAUGCAAUACACACAGGUGAAACAGAGACCAAACGAAGAGAAUGGGAGACAGUAUUAACACAUUCAACCAUCAAAACAAAAUCCAAAUAUCAGUGAGAUGGUCAUACCUGAGCAAUUCCCCUUGAGCGAUGUUGAUUGGCUUCCAGCAAGCUGCAAUCCCUCUCCUCUGUUCUUCUUCUCUGCCAGAAACUCUGCAGCAAUCUCUCCAAAACCGGGUACCUCACUCUCAUGAGCUCUGAAUCUGCUUCCCGCCCCUCUGGUUCUUUCCUCUGCCAUAUCCCAAAAGUGGGUAUCCUUUCCACCACCCUCUCUUCUCUUCUCUCACUCAGUGUCUUCCCUCAAAACAACUACCUCCUUCUCUCUGAAAUUGCUCUCUUCAUUUAUGGCUCCCUCAAGAGUGAAAACAAUGGGCUUCCCUCUCAAGAGCGAAAACAAUGGUUUUCCCUCUCAAGAGCCAAAACAAUGGGUUUCGAACUUCCCUCUCUCCCUUCAUUUGGCUUACCGUAAAACAAUGGUGUUCUGGGCCUAAUUGAUCCCUCUCACUCUCUCUCUCCGUUUAGCUUAUGUUUUGGCGACCAAAAAUUAAGAUUUGAUUUAUAUAACUUAUAUAAUUAAUGAAAAAAAUAUAAAAUAUCAAAAAACUAAAAUACUUGUUUACCUUUCAUAUAAAUUUUUAUGUUUUUAUUACAUUAUUAUUAUGAUCAUAGUAAUUUUAUUUUAAUCAUUUGAAUUUUUUAUUAUUUUUAAAAACUUUUUUUAUUAUUUAAUUUUCUUUAAAAAAAAUUAUGGCUUUGAAAAAGAAGAUGUGUAAUGUGAUUAGGGUUUGAGAAUUGGGAGAAGCUUACUAAUAAUUUAGACCAAAUCGUACCUUUUUCUUUAUCUUUUCAAAACCUGACAAUGACUUGAAAGCAGACUGAGCACGUAUCUUUCUCUGACUUUUCUUCUCGUAUCUUGCUCUGCUGCAUUCCAUGGUAUUGAUUACUCCAAGCUGUCGGCAGAUGUGUGCGUCUUGUGGUAAGUGAAUCCGUGCUUUGCCAAAUAUGGGCCUUCCAACCUUGUCAAGCUAGGGUUUCGGCGUGUGGUCCAACCAGACGAGAAGAAGGACACUGACAUAUACAGAGUUACUUCAAUUUUUAUUUUUUUUAUUUUUCGUGAGUUUGAUAAAAGAAGGAGAUGUUUGUGAGGAAUUAAUUUGAAAAAUCAACAAACAUACGUUAGAACAAAUAAUUUUUAUUGAAACCAUUUCUCGAAUGAAUUUCUUAAAUACUGAAUGUCGUAUCUUUGAAAACUUAUAAGUUAUGAUUAAAAAACCUACAAAAUUCUUCAAAUCAUAUCCAAUUAAAUCGGUCAUAGAAAGAGUUUCAAUUAAGAAUGUACAAGAUAUUGAAAUAUCAUAUUUACUGAAAAAUAUCAUCUAUCAAAUAUUAGCAUAGACAUUUUUUUACAUCUUAUUGCUUUGUACUUGAGUUUCAUUGCUUUUGACUUUUGUGCAUCUUAUGAAAUUUCCGUUGUAAAAUAAAAGGAUAUGCCUUGUUAAAAUUUUAUUAGGAAAUACUCUCAUCUGUUGCAGCAAAGGUCUGCGGCACAGCCACAGUCCUGACCUACCACCCCUCUAGGCAGUGCUUCGGCCAAAAUUCCGGCCAGGAGGACAGUCAGUGAGAGGUUCCUUAGGGUGAGGGAUGCCCCAUUUUGGAAGGAUAUAGCAAAAAUGUGUCACUUGAAUACAGAGUAUGAUUUAUGGUGUAGAAAAGGAAAAUUGCUGGCUCAAGCAGCACUAAGUGUAUGUUUCAUUGUGUUUUGAACUCCUCAUUUGACUGGUAGCUGUCAACACUAUCAUGGCUUACUUAAUUGCUCUCUUUUACAGUCUUUAUCAAACUGUUCUGUUUCCCCACUCAGUUAGUCAUAACUACCAUUCUCAGAAUGUGAUCUAGUCAUUUUGUUUUGUUUAUUGGGUAAAACUUGCAGGAGCAGGAAAUAGGAAACUCCCUCUUGAUAAGCCACUUACUGCCCUCCUGGAAGAUUAUUGGAAAGAUUCCUUGCUCGCCAUGGAACUUCCUCAGCUACCCAUUUUGUCCCUCCAGGUAUCCUUCACUCUCAUACACUGAUCAAGGGCAUUUUAAUAAUUAUGUGGUGUUAGUUAAUGUGGGAGGAGAUGCUGAGAGACCCAUGUGAAAAAAUGGUCAAGAACAUGCAGAAUCCAUGUAAAACACUCGGUGUCAGGUUUGGGAAGCUGUCCAGUUAUGUGGUCCUUUCUUGAUGUUAUGGGUCUAAAACUUGGGGUACCCCUCCCGGGCCAGGUUGUGUGGUCCACAUAGAAGGGCACGAGCAGGUAUGAUCUAGGGUUGUGAACGUGGUUGUCCUAUCCCAGCUGUAGGUUUCUUCGGUCUUUACAGGCUUUAGCCAUUCCUUCAAGAUCCCAAGUCAUCUUACUGUAUCCCAUAUCCGAAUUGAAAAGGCCCCAUUAGCUUUUAUACCUCUCUGUAGAUGAGACAGAGGUCUGUGAUGCAGAGAAUACGAGAGCAGUUGGUGGAGAGACAAGCCAGUUAAUGUGAAUUAAUGCCCGACUCUUUUCAGAAUGUUUUUGUGUCUUUGCAGGACCCAUCCUGGAAAUGUAAUCAGUUGAGUAGUAAAUUAGAUGUAAUCCCAAUUCUAAACAAAAAAGACAAAAAUAAUCGUUACAUUUUUGGAGGCUAAAGGCCUUUUUUUUCCUAGACAUUGAGACCAUGAUAAUUUAUACUUUCCAUCUGUAGUGACAAACAGAAAAAGUAAAACCGACGAAGCUUCAAUGCCUUCAGUUCUGGUGACAGUUCUGGUGUUUUGGCUUCAAUGCCUUCGGAAUCAGCAGACUAGAUCCAUCACAACCAGUGAUUUUUUUUUCUUUUUCUCUCCCUCCUGUUUUUUUAUCCUUUCUUUUCAUAUGGUCCACACACAUCACACAGCUCACGUGCAUCCUCACAAAUCCCAAAACAAAAAGAAGGCUUUGUUUUCUACUACCAGAGGGUAGUCUUGCAAUGCGUUUCCAAAAUCAGGUCAAGUACUGAUUGGAUUUUUAUUAUUUUUAAAAACCUUUUUUUAAAUUUAAUUUUCUUUAAAAACAUUUAUGAAGGAUUAGGGUUAGGGCUUUGAAAAAGAAGAUGUGUAAUGUGAUUAGGGUUUGAGAAUUGGGAGAAGCUUACUAAUAAUUGCCGAUGGCGACUUCAAAUGGUACUGAUGUAUUAUACCAGUUUGAACAUGAAUAAGUAUCGAGUAUUAUACUUUUGGACUCUUCCACGUGGUUGGUGCCCUCGGUGGGUUACAGUCUUUAGUCUUUACAGAUUACUUUUGGACUUUUAAGCAUGAGGCAAAUUGUGAGUUCACGGGCAAAUUUCAAAGAAAAUCUUCUUCCACCGGGCUCUAACCUUGUUGCAUCCGAUCUGGUGUUUUUUUGAUAGUCAUUUCAAGCAUUGCUCCCAUUGGGCAAAUUUCAAAGAAAAUCUUUUUCCAAUUAUAACCUUGUUGCAUCCGAUCUGGUGUUUUUUUGAUAGUCAUUUCAAGCAUUGCUCCCAUUGGGCAAAUUCCACCAAUCAUCUUUCCAUGAAAUAUGGCUACAUCUUUCAACAAUUGGGGGUCGAUUUCAUUGUGACAAAAGUGGACGCUGAGCUGAAAAUGAAAUUUGAUUAGACGGGGAGAUUUGUGUGACUUGCAAUAAUUAGUCGAUUCGUACUUUGCCAAAGGUGGGGCUUCUGAUUCCAUUUCUUUCAAUGAUCGAUCUUCACACUGUGUAAUAUUUGAUUCUAUUUUAAUUAAAGUCUAUCAAAGUAAAAAAUUCUCAAUUUAAAUCUAUAUUAAAAAUAUUUAUCAAAAUAAUGUGUCAUAAACUUUAUUAUUAUUUUUAUUUUUUUUAUAUUUUAAAAUCACAGCAAUUGUGAUUUUUUAUACUAAAAACAAAAACAAAAUAAAAUCAUGUGGAUGUGGAUGAGCAUAUGACUAAAUCAUGACACUUUUAAAGAAAACACUUUCUUUGACCUUUUGUAGACCCCCACGUUCUGGUCACCUGGGAUAGAUGGUAGUUUAUUAUAGGGAAGGGGGGGAGGGACCGGCUUCUAAGGGCGAGCUGCUGGAGACGCGUGGCUGGGGGAAGCUGACCAUCACCAUGGUGGUGGUUGGGAUAGCAUUUGGCUGAGCAAGGAGCAAUGAGGUAGGUAUUAGCUUGUGGAGGAAGACAAGAAAACGGGGGAAGGGGACUACCUUUGGCAAGAGGGGAGAUUUUUAGAGCAGGAAAGAGGUAACUGGCCAAGGAGAGGAAGAAACAGGCGGAAGAAUCGCAUUGAUAGGAAUCGACACAGGUACUUGUUUCUACAAGCUAUCGGUUCUUCCAUGUACAUAUCAUUUUGUUGAGUUUUCUGGGUAUCAUUAGGUUCUGUUUUGAUGUCAAGAUGUGUUUAUUGGUAUCUCUAGUUUGUUUCUAUAGAAUCCGGGUUUGCUUUCACUUGAUUCACCCUUGAUUUCUAACCUGUUUUGUGUCCUCUGUUUUGAGAUUUCAUAUGAAACAUUGGCAUUCACUUCUUAGUUUCGUUUUAAAACUCAUUUGAAAUCUGCUUCAGCCCACUCCCAAGCUCAUGGAUUGAUACAUGAAAUAAGGUUUGCGGGGUUCCAUUUUAGUUUCCUAUUAUUUGUGCUCUUUUUAUUGCUUUUCCCCGUUCCUGGUAUUUGAUUAAGGCCUUUUCCAUUUUCCUCUCUCUGCCUAGAAAGUCUGGGUCGAGGCGUCCUUUUCUGGAGGAUGCAUGAGAGUUUCCCUGUGGUUUUCUGCUCGACAUAACAAAUCGGCAUCCCUGCUCUGACCUUUAUUUGUGGACCUCCAAGCGCUGAUUUUGAUGGUGACUGUAUUCCCUUGUUUCACCCUCAGUCUCUUGGGGCAAAGGCCAGGGUUUUAGAGCCAUUCUCGAUGAAGAAACAGUUGCUUAGCUCUCAUAGUGGUAACCUCAACUUGCAGCUGGCCAUGGAUUCAUUGAUGUCUCCAAAAGUUCCCUUUGAGAGAUAUUUCAUGAACUAAACAGUCGCUCAGCAAUUGGUGAUGUUUGUUUCUAUGUUCUUACCGAGGCCCGUUUUGUUGAAGUCUCCUUGUUCCGACCCUUGUUGGACCACCUCGCAGAUACUGCAGACUGCCUUACCUUCUCAUUUAGAUCGCAUUGGAGAGAGCCUUUGUUGAUGGAAGGUUUAUUUUUAGAGGGCCUCAGCAUCAACUUGAGGGGUUUUUUCCGUUUCCAGGGAGGUCACACAAAGUACCCCCAUACCCUGUGUCUAUACCCGGUACACCCAGCAAACCCAUUCCAUAUAUAUGGCCGCCCCUCACACCCGACAUGCCCAUCACCCAUCUCUAUGCGCAUAGCCACCUUCCUUUCUCAACCUACAAACCCAUUUUCUUCAAUAUCCAUUAACCCAUUUCAUCUCUCACUACUCACCAUCUCUCAUAUCUUCUCAAGCCCAUUCCAUAUAUUCCAUGUAUAUCAUCACCCUUCAUACCCGCAUCUUAUACCCAUAUCCUCAUGCUUAUACCCGUGUCUCACACCCUCAUGCAAUAUACCAGUUUUCUCAUCACCUUUUUCUCUCUCUACAUCACAUACCCUCCAUACACUUUGAUUUCCCACCGGUUUAUAUCACUCCAUAUCAUCAAUCCCACGCAUACACAGUCCAAUCCUCCAUGCCGCAUCCAUGAAACCCGCCAUCCACUCCCUCAUUCACGUGCCCACCAUCCAACUCAUCUCUUCAUUCCAUACCCAUGAACAUGUCCAGUGCCCUUCAUGCAUGCCGUCACCCUCAUAUACCCAUUUUCAUACCACCAAUUCCACUUCCCCCCAUUUCCCUCGACUUCUCUUCCUUUUCCAAUUCCUCUUCCUCCGCCUCUUCUCCAGUGAUGCAAGAUGUGCGGCGCUUCCGGAUGUUAACGGAAGGUGGCGUCCGCCUAAAGCUCACUCCCACCACCACCUCCCCGCUAGCCAUCAACAUCUCCAAAGACCCAGUCAUCAUCUUCAGCCAUCCCUCUUGCUGCAUGUGCCACGUCAUGAAGCGCCUGCUCUCCACCAUCGGUGUGCACCCCACCGUCAUCGAGCCGGAUGAUGAGGAGAUCGGAGCCCUCAUCGCCCACUCCGUCACUCCCACUGUCGCGACCCCGAUGAACCCACCGCUCAUGUCAUCGAAAUCCACCGCCACCCCAUUCGCCGCCACCUCGCGACAUCCUCCAGGCUUUCCGGCUAGCCCGUCCGCCUCCACCCUUAGUUGAGCAAUGGAGGCUGGUUGGAAGUGGUGCAUGUUGGAAAGUAUACCUCCAGGCCCAAAAUGUGAAAAGAAUGCUAAGGAUGCAGCCCAAUAGAUUGGUAGUUGGGCUUCCCACCAUGUACCACCAAAAUGUCCCAGGCCCACAACCAUUCCUUGAGGUUUCUUUCCACCCAAGGCCCAUUCCUAAAAGCCCAAGUUUGCAUAACCUUUACCCUAAACCCCUUUCUGAAAGCCCAUUAGUUCCUUUUAUUCAUUCUUUCUUUCAUGCACAUGCACACUAUAUUAUUCAUUUAUAUGUUUAUUCGUUUAUCCAAAUUCUACAUUCUCGAUAUCAAAAUUUGAUCCUCCGUUACCUAUUUAUUCAUUUAUUAGUUGUUAGUAUUAUUAUCAUUAUUGUUUCCUUUCAAUUUUCAAGUUUAACUUUCAAAAUCCAUAUUCUCAUAGUGUAAUUGCCCAAAGUUCUCUUCUUAAACCUAAUUUUCAAAGUUCUCAUUUUAGAAUAAUUUUUGAAUUCUCAACUUCCAGAGUUAAUCGUCAAGAUUCAAAAUUUUAAUCUAAUUACCAAAGCUCCAAUAUUUAAAAUUUAGUUUUCAAAAACUUCAACUAUCAUUAUUAUCAUUAUUAUUAUUCUAUUUAGUUACUUUAAAAUAUCCUUUCUUAAACAAUUCCAGUUUUCCAACUUUUAAAUUCAAUUUCCAAUUUGAAGAAAUUCCAAGAUUCCCACUCAUUCAUUUAAUCAUUAUAUUCGUUAUUAUUUUUGUAUUUAUUUAUUUCAAAUUUUCUUCCUUUAAACAAUCCUAAUUUUUUGACUUUCGAAUUUGAUCCCAAUUUUCAAAAUUUCAAUUUUCACGUCAAUUUAUUUAAUCAUUAUCCUUUUACUUAUUUAUUUAUUGAAACUUAAAACCCCAAUUUUUAAAUAACUCUCUAGAGUUCCAAUUUCUAAAUUUGAUUCCAAUUUCCAAAAUUUUAAUCUUUAUAUCAAUAUAUUUAAUCAUUAUCACUUUAUUAAUUAAUUUAUUUGUUUAAAUUUAAAACUCCAAUCUUUAAAUAACUCUCCAGAGUUCCGAUUUCUAAAUUUAAUUCCAAUUUCCGAAAUUCUAGUUUUUGCACCAAUUUAUUUAGUCGUUAUCAUUUUAUUCAUUUGUUUGUUUAUUUUUAAAAUCCAAUCUUUAAAUAACGCUUCAAAAUGUUGAUUUCUAAAUUUAAUUCCAAUUUCUGAAAUUCUAGUUUUCGUAUCGAUUUAUUUAGUCACUAUCAUUUUAUUCAUUUAUUUAUUUGUUUAUUUUUAAAAUUCAAUCUUUAAAUAAUUCAUCAAAACUCUGAUUCCCGAAUUAAAUUUCCAAAAUUCCCUUUUUUUAUUUACUUAAUCAUCAUUAUUCUAUUUAUUUAUUUCAAAAAUUCCUUCUUCGAAUGAUUCUAAUUUUCUGAUUUUCGAAUUUAAUUUCCAUUUUCAAAAUUUUCAAUAUUUAUGUGCAUUUUUCCCAAAACCCUAAUUUCUGAACUUAAUUUCCGAAUUCCAAAAUUCUAAUUUCCUUCAAAUUUAACCUCCAAAAUUUCAAUCCUUAAAUUUAAUUUUCAAAACUUCAAUUCUCAAAUAAUUUGUUAAUUUAUUUCAAAUUUAAUUUCCAAAGUUCCAAUUUCUUAAUUAAUAUUCAAAACUCAACUUUCAAAUAAUUUUAUUUCAAUUUUCAAAUAAAUUUCAAAAAUCCAGUUUCCUCUCGAAUAGUUUUAAUUCCACUUUGGUUUUCAAGUAAUCUUCUGUUUCUCUUUAUUUUACAUAAGCAUGAAUAAAAAUUUCAUAAUUCCAGAAUGAUGGAAUUUGUGAGACUAAUUCGUGCAAGAUCAAUCGGGCUUUGGUGGGGGUCCAAUAUAUGUGAUUUUAUGAUUGAUUGAUUGAUAUACACGAUUGAUUUAUUCCAUUCUAUGACAUGCAUGCGAUUAUUCUGUGUUUAAUUGCUAACAUUCUUUUUCAUGGAAGUAAAUCGGUUCAUCGUUCAGGUACAUUCUUUGCUUCUCCUAUUCAUUCGGUUAUUUUGUUCUGAGUGAUAUUCAUUUGGUAUCUAUGGUCAAUUAAUCAAUUGUCAUGAUUGUUUCAUUCUAUUAGUAGAGACUUGUUUUGGGGACUUAGAGGGGUGCUACGGUCUUUACUGUACCUUCUCGAUAAGUAACUUGACCCCCGAGCCCGAUCCGGUUUUUCACAAACCACAUUUUUCAAAAUAAGGAGUCACACUUAGGGCUUUCUUUCUUAUUUUAUUUACUCUUUUAAAAAUAAAACAAAAAUAAGUGGUGACUCCAAGUCAUUUUUAAUAAAUAAAUUAUUUUUCAAAUAAAAAUUAAACUCGCUAUCAAGUGAGAAACACAUGAGCCGAAAUGCGGGGUUCACACCUUUAUUUUGGAUUUUUGCAAAAUCACCGAUUCAACAAGGGAUUUCGCACUUUUCAAGCAAUCGUUUUUGUGAUCCACAACAAAAAUCCAAAAUAAAGGUCAAAGCAAUUGUUCAACCAGCAAAUAAAUAAAAUAUUAAAAUAAUAUUUUAAAAAAUAAAUUAAUUAUAGUUAUUAACAAAAAUAUAAAAAAUAUUUUUAUAUGGUAACAAUUUUUUUCAUAGUGUUUUAAUAUCAUUAAUAUAUUAAUUAAAUGUUAAAAAAAUGUGCAUUUAUCAUAAUUUUUUAUAUCAUUUAAUACAGUUAAAUUAAAUAUAUCAUAAUUUUAAUAUUAAAUAUGUUUUAAAAUUAGAUAUAUUAUAAUUAAAUAUUACAAUAUUCUUAUUAAAUAAUAUUUGAUGUAAUUUAAUAAUCAAUAUAUAUUUAUCAAAUUUAUAUUUUUAUAUUGACAUAUAUAAUAUUAUUAUCAAUGAUAAAUUAUAUUAUAUAUAUUUAUUUUUAUAAAUUUUAAUCAAUUUAGGUUUAACGAUAUUUUAUGUCAAAAUAUUCAUCGAUAUAUUUUCGAUAUAUUCGUAAAAUCGAAGUACCGAUAUAUCCGUAAUUAUCGAUAUUUUUAUCAUUCGUUGUUAAGAGAAAAAAAUAAUAAUUAUAAAUUAUUCAAAAAAAAAAAAGAAAAAGAAAUUGGUUUGGGUUUAUUUCAUUGUUUUUAACAAAAAGAAAUAAGUAUUGGGUGUUAUGAUAAACUCUAAAAUCACUGUCUAUGCAAAGAAAAAUCUAUUUAUAAGUAUUGGGUGUCUAUGGAAUAAACCCUAAAAUAAACUUUUAUGUAAACAUGUUUUUUUUUUUUUAAAAAAAAACAACAAUUGGAAAAUUCAAAAGGAAUUGAAAUCAACUUUUGCUUUUAUUUAUUUAUUUAUUUCUACACCAUCAAUGGCUAGGUAAGGAUGUAAUUUGGGUGAGCUUGCUAUCCAAAUGGUUACUAUUCAGGCUGGGCCAAGUUAAACAUAAGGGGCGAUUUUGGAUUUGGUCUUCGAACUUAGCCCACAUGCUUGGGCUCGGUCCUAUGAUUUUGGGUUUAACCUAUUUUAUUAACAUAUUGUGUUAAGAAAGUACAUUGUUAAGUUGUUAAUUGAAGUUGCUUUGACAUACACAUACAAAGACAAUUUUGAAUUAUUAAAGCUUUGAGUGGGCUUAGUCCAAUUGUAGGCUUUUGGGCGAGACUAACCCAACUAUGGGAUUUUUGGGUAGUCCAAUCAAGUCAGGCUUUGGAUGGGCCUUGAAAAUAAAAGGGGGCUUAAGCCCCCUACCUAAAUUCGGGCCCAAGUCAGGCUUUAGUCUAUUGAGCUUUUUUGAGCUUUGGGCACUGGUUGGGCUCAGGCUAGCUCGUUGAGUUUUGGACUUUCGGGUGAAAUUUGCACCCUUUGGGGUGCACAUGUAAUUGGAUCAAGUUAAUUUUAGCUUGGUAUAGGGAAGGACCAAUUUGGCUUCAAUUUUGAGAAUUGGGCUGGUCCAUGGGCUGUUGUUGAGUUCAUGCUUAGGUUAAGUUUAGAGAUGGAUUAGGUUUGUUGGAAAUCCUGAAUUACUCGGGUCCCAGUCCGAAUCAAUAAGGCGUAUGCAAAACUUUUGCUCGAGCUCUCUACAUCUAAUAUCUAACAAGCGGAAACAUAUAAAUAUAAAAUAUGUAAAAAAUUUAACACUGACUUGAUUAUUGUUCGAUAAUAAUUUUUAAUGAAUAAAUAAAAGUUGUUUUUAUUCAUUUUUAAAAACAAAAGAAAAAUAUGAGUCACAAUGUUUUUUUAAAUAAAAAAUAGUUUUUAAAAUAAAAAAUAGUUUUUAAAAUAAAAAAUAAUUUUUAAAAAAUGAAUUUCAAAAAACAUGAUCAAACACACUAACUUUUAAAACAGAGUUUUAAAAACACUUUCAUAUACGGUCAAAUUUUUUUUGCUAUUUGUGAUUGAAAAUUACGUGAUUCUACUCCAACAAAAGAGUGACAGUAGUGUGAAAUCUUGUUUGGUUGCCGAGAAAUUGAAAAGUCUUUAUUUUUUUUUUCAAAGCCGCAGGAGUUUGACUCAACUAAUCAAGUAAGCCUUACGAGUUGAAUUAUAUUGGGACAGUUUGAACGGGAGUUUUUGCUUUUCCAACAAGCAAACUGAGCUUCCUACCCUUUGUCUUUUUCCCUCCCGGCUGUGACUUCAUCUGAAUAAUUUAUUUUCAUUUUCUUUGGCUGAUUUUAUUUCAAUAGCAAAUUUAUAAAAAAGAUUUUUUAACCUAAAAUAACAAAAUUAAAUUAAAUUAAUUAAAUUAUCAAUAGAUCUCUAUCAUUGGUUCUAUUUUUUUUUUCUCUUAAUUUAAUUUAUUCCUUCCAGCCUUAUGAUUAUUUAUAAAUCAAUUUACUAAUAUUGUUAUUAAUUUUAAUAACAUUUUUAAUAUCAUAUAUUAUUAUUAAUAAUUUAUUAUAUUUGCCUCAACUAAUUAAGUAGUUGAAUUGUGGAACUUUGAAUGGGAGUUUUUGCUUUACAAACAAGCAAAUUUUAAUUUUUAAAUAAUAAAUUCAGAUUUUUACAUGGUUUGGAAUAAAAUGACCAAAUUACCCUCCAUCCAAUUCUAAAAAUUUUGACUACACAAGCCAUAGACUCAUUCUGAAGUAAGUGCCCACGUAUUCAAUUUUACUCACAGGAAAUGGGCCCAAUUUCUCUUUUUGAACGUUCUUGGUCAACACGUAAGGCUCUUAAACCCUACCAAAACCCUAAGAUUCAUUCAAACCAGUGAACAUGGUCCAACCCUAACCACACCAACUUGAAACUCCAUACAUCUAUAAAUACCCAAAGCCUCAUUCAUUUCCCACAUCACAAGAGCAAAAAACCCCCUCUAGAGAUCCCAUUACAACCUACCUCCUUAAGCCCUAAAUCUUUGUUCUAAAUACAAGCUUCUCGGUUUUUUAGUUUAUGAUGACUUUUACACGAUCAAAUACUACCCUUUUGAUCAUAUUAGUCAUAUUUGUUAUUAUCAUAGGUCAAGUUCAUGUUGAGGGAGCAAGAAUAUUAUCAGAGGAGUUUAAAAGUGCCACUCAUCUUACAACAUCAUCUUAUGUUUAUGAGAAGGCUAAGUUCACGAUGACUUAUUGGUUAGAACGAUUAGCUUCUGGGCCUAGUCCUAGAGGUCCUGGUCACUAACUAACUACAUUUUUUAGGAAAUAGUGAAAAAUAUAUGAUUCAUGUAAUAUAUUUAUUAUUUUUAUAUAUAUAUUAUGCAAUGUGCAAUUGAAGUAAAUAAAUAAAUAAAUUUAUUCUUUUCAAUUAUUGGCAUCUUGAUCAUUACUAGCUGCUUAUUGCAUUUUUUUCAAAUUCUUUUUUAUGUUUUUCUAUUUGGUUGCUAAGAAAUUAUAAAAAUAAUAGAAAAUUAACUAUUCAUUUUCCAACAAAUUUAGUUGCGCCCAUUUGGAGAAUGAAAUCAACAGUGAAAGAGAACAUGGUGUAUCUUUUUGCCAUUUUAAGAAUGAAGAAGUGUGAAUGAGUUUCAAUUUUCCAUGUUACCCUGUUUGGUAGCCGGGAAAAAGAGGGCAUUUGUACCUUUUUUCCAAAAAGGAAAUCAACCAGGCAACCCAAGCCAUUGAAUUAGGUGAGUUCUAUCAUUAUUUUUUUCUUCCCUUCUUCACAGGCAACAGGUUUGAAUAAUCUUAUUUUGUGGAUUUUUAGAAAUAAAUUUGCAAUUUCACAUGUUGUUUUGGCAACACUUCUAAUAGACUAAUUUAAUUUAUAGUAUUAACUAUUUUCUUAUUUUGGAAAAGAAAAUGACCAAUAUUGCCCCUCAACUCUCUUGACUUCAAGUCAUGAAUAGGGUCAUUUCAGUCCGUUACAACAAAGUCACUAAUAUUUAAGUCUGCAUGACUUCUUAAUUCACAAUGAUGAAUUUCGUUUUAGUUAUUUUUGUUUUCAUUGUAAGUAAAGUUUACAUGGAGGCAAUAAAGGUAUUAUCAAAAGGAUAUUAUAAGAAAGCUAAGUCCAUCAUGCCUUGCUGGUUCGAGCAAUUGGUAUUAGGGCCUAGCCCUAGAGGCCCUGAUUAUUGACGAACUCAUUUUUCGAAAUUAUGAAGAUUUUUGCGUUUAUGCGUUGAUGAUAUGUAUUUUUGUUAUAUAUUGCAUAAAAUAAAGUUUUGCAUAUAAUUUUAUGUUACAUUUUUCUUAAAUUCUUUCAUACGGACCAAUUUUUGUUUGAUAUCCUCAUAUUAUAAUAAGAAUUAUGUUGAUUAAAUAUGAUUAUGAGACUUUUUUAAUUAUGAAAUUUUUUAUUCUUUGUCAUUGAUAGAUUCAUUUUCAUUAAUUUUAGUUCAUUAAAAAUUUAUGGCAUAAUUAAUGUUGGUUUAUUUCAAAAAAAAUUAUAGAUUUGAGGCAUAAUAGUUUUUAUUUUUGUUUUAAUUUUAUUUUUUAUUUUUUAUGUUGAAAAAUAUAUGAAAUACCAAAAUAAAAUAAAAUAAAAUAAAAAAGAUACACGCCAAUCUUCAACCCAAGUUCGGGCCCAUUGAGCUACGGAAACCCUGAAACGCUGGCCCAAUAGGAGAGAGCUAGUCUCUCUUUGCGACUGCAACUCUCUCUCUCUAGAAAAUCUUUCAGUCAUCAGUUAGAUCUUCAAAUCUCUGAAUCUCAUCAUCUGGGUGUUGUUUUCUUCUUAAUUUUCCCACUUUUUCUCUCGUCAAAUUUACACCUUUGGCUCUGAUUUUGCUUGCGGUUUCUGAUCUGUUUUUGUGGAGAUUCUUGGUUAUUCAUUGUUUCAGAACAUGGAUCUUUCUUGAAUCUGGAUUUGCACUUGAGUAUUUUUCUUUCCUUUUGUUUUUUGGUGGGGUGUUCAGUACUUUAAUUAUUAUUUGUUUCGAUAUAAGUGUGAUUUAGUGUGAUUUUACUUAGUGAAUUUCAUUUAUUACCCUGUUUGGUUGCCUAGAAAAUGGAAAUAAAAAGAAAGGAACCUCAGUCCCGUUCCAAAUUACCCUCCAUCCAAUUCUAAAAAUUUUGACUACACGAGCCAUAGACUCAUUCUAAAGUAAGUGCGCACGUAUUCAAUUUUACUCACAAGAAAUGGGCCCAAUUUCUCUUUUGAACGUUCUUGGUCAACACGUAAGGCUCUUAAACCCUACCAAAACCCUAAGAUUCAUUCAAACCAGUGAACAUGGUCCAACCCUAACCACACCAACUUGAAACUCCAUACAUCUAUAAAUACCCAAAGCCUCAUUCAUUUCCCAUAUCACAAGAGCAAAAAACCCCCUCUAGAGAUCCCAUUACAACCUACUUCCUUAAGCCCUAAAUCUUUGUUUUCAAUACAAGUUUCUCGGUUUUUUAGUCUAUGAUGAUGAGUCUUACACGAUCAAAUACUACCCUUUUGAUCAUAUUAGUCAUAUUUGUUAUUAUCAUAGGUCAAGUUCAUAUCGAAGGAGCAAGAAUGUUAUCAGGGGAGUUUAAAAGUGCAACUCAUCUUACAACGUCAUCUUAUGUUUAUAAGAAGACUAAGUUCACGAUGACUUAUUGGUUAGAGUGCUUAGCUUCUGGGCCUAGCCCUAGAGGUCCUGGUCACUAACUAACUAUAUCUUUUAGGAAAUAGUGAAAAAUAUAUGAUUCAUGUAGUAUAUUUGUUAUAUUUUUUUAUUUUUUAUUUUAUAUAUUAUAUAAUGUGCAAUUGAAGUAAAUAAAUAAAUAAAUAAAAUUAUUCUUUUCAAUUAUUGGCAUCUUGAUCAUUACUAGCUGCUUCUUGCAAUUUUUUCAAAUUCUUUUUUAUGUUUUUCUAUUUGGUUGCUAAGAAAUUAUAAAAAUAAUAGAAAAUUAACUAUUCAUUUUCCAAAAAAUUUAGUUGCGCCCAUUUGAAGAAUGAAAUCAACAGUGAAAGAGAACAUGGUGUAUCUUUUUGCCAUUUUAAGAAUGAAGUAGUGUGAAUGAGUUUCAAUUUUCCUUGUUACCCUGUUUGGUUGCCGGGAAAAAAAGGGCAUUUGUACCUUUUUUCCAAAAAGGAAAUCAACCAGGCAACCCAGGCCAUUGAAUUAGUUGAGUUCCAUCAUUGUUUUUUUCUGCCCUUUUUCACAGGCAACAGGUUUGAAUAAUCUUAUUUUGUGGAUUUUUAGAAAUAAAUUUGCAAUUUCACAUGUUGUUUUGACAACACUUUUAAUAUACUAAUUUAAUUUAUAGUAUUAACUAUUUUCUUAUUUUGGAAAAGAAAAUGACCAACAUUACCCUUCAACAAUGUUGACUUCAAGUCAUGAAUAGGGUCAUUUCAGCCCAUUACAACAGAGUGACUAAUAUUUAUGUCUCCAUGACUCUUUCAAAGGUCUAUGGUCAACAUGUAAAAUUCUUAAACCCUAGAAUCCAUUCAAAUAAGUGGGCACGGUACAAACUCCAACAACACUAGUCCUAAACUUCAUCGCUCAAUAAAUACUCAAAAGGUCAUUCAUUUUAGACACCGAUCCUAUCGCCUUAAACCCUAAAUCUCCUUCUAAAAAAGAAGCUUAUCGAUUUUUAAUUCACAAUGAUGAAUUUCAAGUAAUCAAAUAAUAUCUUUUGAAUCGUUUUAGUCAUUUUUGUCUUUAUUGUAAGUCAAGUUUGCAUCGAGGCAAUAAAGGUAUUAUCAAAGGAUAUUAUAAUGAAAAUCACCUUACAAUAUUUGUUUUUUACUUAUAAGAAAGCUAAGUCCACCGUAGCUUGUUGGCUCAAGUGAUUGGUAUUAGGGCUUAGCCCUAGAGGCCCUGGUUAUUGAUGAACUUAUUUUUUGAAAUUAUGAAGAUUUUUGCGUCUAUGUGUUUAUGAUAUGUAUUUUUGUUAUAUGUUGUAUAAAAUAAAGUUUUGUAUAUAGUUUUGUGUUACAUUUUUCUUAAAUUCUUUUAUGCGGACCAAAUUUUAUUUGAUAUCCUCAUAUUCUAAUACGAAUUAUGUCAAUUAAGCAUGAUUAUGAAACUUUUUUAAUUAUGAAAUUUUUUAUUCUUUGCCAUUGAUUGAUUCAUUUUCGUUAAUUUUAGUUCAUUAAAAAUCUAUGGCAUAAUUAAUGUUGGUUUAUUUCAAAAAAAAUUCUAGAUUUGAGGGAUAAUAGUUUUUUAUUUUUAUUUUUUAUUUUUUAUUUUUUAUGUUGAAAAAUAUAUGAAAUACCAAAAAAUAAAAAUAAAAAAAUAAAAAAGAUACACGCCAAUCUUCAACCCAAGUUCAGGCCCAUUGAGCUAUGGAAACCCCUGAAACGCUGGCCCAAUAGGAGAGAGCUAGUCUCUCUUUGCGACUGCAACUCUCUCUAGAAAAUCCUUCAGUUAGAUCUUCAAAUCUCUGAAUCUCAUCAUCGGUGUUGUUUACAUCUUAAUUUUCCCUCUUUUUCUCUCGUCAAAUUUACACAUUUGGCUCUGAUUUUUUCAUACAAAUUCCCAUACAUCAUUGUGGUUGUUGAGAUUAUUUCAGACGUUUUAUUCUUUGAGUUUUCGGUUUUGCUUGCGUUUUCUGAUCUGUUUUUGUGGAGAUUCUUGGUUAUUCAUUGUUUCAGAACAUGGGUCUUUCUUAAUCUUGAUUUGCACUUAAGGGUUUUUCUUUCCUAAGUGUGAUUUAGUGUGAUUUUACUUAGUGAAUUUCAUUUAUUACCCUGUUUGGUUGCCUAGAAAAUGGAAAUAAAAGAAAGGAACCUCAGUCCCGUUCCAACUAUCUGCCUGGGUUGUUAUUUUGUUUGUAUAUUGGUUGGUUUUGAUUGCAUGCGACAGGCACAAAUUCAUGAUCUUUGAUGUUGAAUUAAGCAAUAUGAUUCUUUGUAUAGGAACUCAUUCAAGCGCAUCAAGCUGUCAAUACAUGAAAUUCUAUUACAUUUUUUUAUGGCUUCAUGUAUUUAAAAGAAACCCUAGCAGUAGAAACUUACAUUUUUGAGGUUUGAGAUAAUUUUUACACUGGCUCUAAACCCUAGCAGUAGAAACUUACCUUCUAUGAAAACCCAAAAAGAAUUCAUACCUUUUAUGAAAGUUCUGGGAAGCCCCUGCAUGUAUGAGUUGUUUGCCAUUAAAAUUCAUCUGCAGGUUAUUAUGAUGCUUCGGUUCAUGCUUGGUCAUUUCUCAAUGUUUUUUUAAAGCCCACGAAUGUCCCUGGAGUUGGAGAGUGAAAUUGCUAGUCAUAUUAAAAGAGUGUUUAUAAUAUUAUGUAGUCAUGUUAAAACAGCCAACAGAUAACUAAUAGAACUGGAAUUCAAAGAAGGAUUAACAGAUGAUCCAUGGACUUACUUGGCUUGGUCCCAGUUUAUAGGCAUUAAAGCAAUCUAUAACUAGUUGGAAAGGGAAGAAAGCCUAGCUACUAGCAACAUCCUGGGACUAAUGGAAGCUAGGAUAGGAGCUGUAAAUCUAUAGAAGAUAGAAGCUAGAAAGGAAGGGAAUCUAGUAAUUGGUAGCUAGACUACAUGAGGGAUAAAGAUAAAAGAAAGAAGGAUAACUACUAGCAUCUGAAAUAUUGAAUACUGGUGGUUGUUUGGUUCUAAGCUUUUAAAUGGUUGUUACCUGCUAGUUGUUACAGAAAUGGUUCUAAACGGAGCUACUCCCCCAAGAGGAAGU
rnacentral:lncRNA from 1 species